rnacentral:rRNA from 1 species
GACGAACGCUGGCGGCGUGCCUAAUACAUGCAAGUAGAACGCUGAAGGAGGAGCUUGCUUCUCUGGAUGAGUUGCGAACGGGUGAGUAACGCGUAGGUAACCUGCCUGGUAGCGGGGGAUAACUAUUGGAAACGAUAGCUAAUACCGCAUAACAGUAGAUAUCGCAUGAUAUCUACUUGAAAGUUGCAAUUGCAUCACUACCAGAUGGACCUGCGUUGUAUUAGCUAGUUGGUGAGGUAACGGCUCACCAAGGCGACGAUACAUAGCCGACCUGAGAGGGUGAUCGGCCACACUGGGACUGAGACACGGCCCAGACUCCUACGGGAGGCAGCAGUAGGGAAUCUUCGGCAAUGGACGGAAGUCUGACCGAGCAAAGCCGCGUGAGUGAAGAAGGUUUUCGGAUCGUAAAGCUCUGUUGUAAGAGAAGAACGAGUGUGAGAGUGGAAAGUUCACACUGUGACGGUAUCUUACCAGAAAGGGACGGCUAACUACGUG